rnacentral:tRNA from 1 species
GCCCAGGUGGCUCAGUGGUUGAGUGUCUACUUAUGGACCAGGAGGUCAAGGUUCAAUUCCUGGUCAGGGCA